UACAGAGGGUGCAAGCGUUGUUCGGAAUUAUUGGGCGUAAAGGGCGCGUAGGCGGUGCUGUAAGUCUGUAGUGAAAUCUCUGGGCUCAACUCAGAGUCUGCUAUAGAAACUGCAGUGCUGGAGUGUGGGAGAGGUGAGUGGAAUUCCCGGUGUAGCGGUGAAAUGCGUAGAUAUCUGGAGGAACACCGGUGGCGAAGGCGGCAUCCUGGACCGACACUGACGCUGAGGUGCGAAAGCGUGGGGAGCAAACAGG
rnacentral:rRNA from 1 species